UACGUAGGGGGCAAGCGUUAUCCGGAUUUACUGGGUGUAAAGGGAGCGUAGACGGCAUGGCAAGUCAGAUGUGAAAGCCCGGGGCUCAACCCCGGGACUGCGUUUGAAACUGUCAGGCUGGAGUGCAGGAGAGGUAAGCGGAAUUCCUAGUGUAGCGGUGAAAUGCGUAGAUAUUAGGAGGAACACCAGUGGCGAAGGCGGCUUACUGGACUGUAACUGACGUUGAGGCUCGAAAGCGUGGGGAGCAAACAGG
rnacentral:rRNA from 1 species